rnacentral:rRNA from 1 species
GUAGGGAAUAUUGGACAAUGGGGGGAACCCUGAUCCAGCCAUGCCGCGUGGAGGAAGACUGCCCUCUGGGUUGUAAACUCCUUUUAUAUGGGAAGAACCGUCCUCAUUAAUGAGUGACCUGACGGUACCAUAGGAAUAAGCACCGGCUAACUCCGUGCCAGCAGCCGCGGUAAUACGGAGGGUGCAAGCGUUAUCCGGAUUCACUGGGUUUAAAGGGUGCGUAGGCGGAUAAAUAAGUCAGUGGUGAAAUCAACGGGCUCAACCUGUUAACUGCCAUUGAUACUGUGUAUCUUGAAUAUGAGAGAGGUAGGCGGAAUGUUGCAUGUAGCGGUGAAAUGCUUAGAUAUGCUACGGAACACCGAUUGCGAAGGCAGCUUACUAUUUCGUAAUUGACGCUGAGGCACGAAAGCGUGGGUAACGAACAGGAUUAGAUACCCGUGUAGUCC